GAUGAACGCUGGCGGCGUGCCUAAUACAUGCAAGUCGAACGAACCUUCUUUAUCCCUGCGUGCUUGCACUCACCGAUAAACAGUUGAGUGGCGAACGGGUGAGUAACCUGUGGGCCACCUGUCCCAACGAGGGGGCUAACCCUUGGAAACAGAUGCUAUUACCGCAUAACCAUAGUUACUGCAUGGUAACUUUGUAAUAGCUGGUUAUACUACCGCCUUUGGAUUGGCUCGUGGCUCAUUAUCUAGUUGGUAGGGUAAAGGCUUACUAGGGAAAUGGUGCGUAGCGGAAUGAAGAGGUGGAUCGCCACACUGGAGACUGAGAACGGGCCCAAACCCCUCCGGGGGGAAGCGGAGGGAAUUCUUCGACAAUGGGCGAAAGCCGGAGGGAGCAACGCCGCGUGGGUAAAGAAGGUCUUCGGAUCGUAAAACCCUGUUGUUAGAGAAGAAAGAGCGUGAGGGUAACUGGUAACGUUUCGACGGAAUCUAACCAGAAAGCCACGGCUAACUACGU
rnacentral:rRNA from 1 species